rnacentral:rRNA from 1 species
AGUGAACGCUGGCGGUAGGCCUAACACAUGCAAGUCGAACGGCAGCACAGUAAGAGCUUGCUCUUACGGGUGGCGAGUGGCGGACGGGUGAGGAAUACAUCGGAAUCUACUUUUUCGUGGGGGAUAACGUAGGGAAACUUACGCUAAUACCGCAUACGACCUACGGGUGAAAGCAGGGGAUCUUCGGACCUUGCGCGAUUGAAUGAGCCGAUGUCGGAUUAGCUAGUUGGCGGGGUAAAGGCCCACCAAGGCGACGGUCCGUAGCUGGUCUGAGAGGAUGAUCAGCCACACGGGAACGGAGACACGGUCCAGACUCCUACGGGAGGCAGCAGUGGGGAAUGUUGGACAAUGGGCGCAAGCCUUAUCCAGCCAUACCGCGUGGGUGAAAAAGGCCUUCGGGUUGUAAAGCCCGUCUUUUGGGAAAGAAAAGCAGCAGGUUAAUACCCCGCUGUUCUGACGGUACCCAAAGAAUAAGCACCGGCUAACUUCGUG